CGGAUCAGAAUGCCGCGGUGAAUACGUUCCCGGGUCUUGUACACACCGCCCGUCACACCAUGGGAGUCGGUAAUGCCCGAAGUCAGUAGCCUAACCGCAAGGGGGCGCUGCCGAAGGCAGGAUUGAUGACUGGGGUGAAGUCGUAACAAGGUACC
rnacentral:rRNA from 1 species